rnacentral:lncRNA from 1 species
GAGGGUUCUAUCGUGGCCACGUGUCUUGGGUGCAGCGGAAGCAGUGGGAUUUGGAAUUCCGAUUUUCCACAAGACGCCACUAAUAAGCUGUUAGAACUGCGAAAAUCAGUGAACGGACAUCUCACCGAAGUGGACUCGGGAGGUGGGGAGGGGAGGCUGGAAGGGGGAGCCCACCACCCAGGGUCAGGCUCGGGAACAACCCACGGCUACAGACCCAAGAUUAGAACCCUCCGCAGAGAGAACCCCCAGGCUCAGGCCCCACCAGGGGAAGCUGUGCCCUGCGGCCCCUACAGGAAACCCACCGCGCCUGCAGCCGGGCCCGGGAGGCACCUCCUCGCCCUGCAGCCCUGCUUUACCUCCUGCGGACUUCGCUUCAAAACCACCCUCCCCAUUUCCUCUUCUCCGCGAAACAGCGUUCCUCUCCGUGUGCUCCCCACUCGGCCGCGGUUUUGCCACAGCUUGCUGGGCCCGGAUGGCAAUUCUCCGCUACUCCCGAAUAAACCCACUUUUGCUGGUAACAUAACUGGCGGCGUUAUUUCCAAGGGAAACGGAAGAAUUAAACGAGGACACUCGCAGGAUAGGAGAUCAGCACACAAACACCACGUGCACGUCUGCACGCUCCUGACGACCCGUCGGAAAGAGAAAGUAAGAGACGGUCCCAUUUACAACCGCAGCAGAAGGAACGACGUGCCCCAGAGGAAAUCUAAGCAAGGAGGUGGCAGGCCUGCUGUCCCAGGACAGGGCACUGGGGGACAGAAACGGAGGAAGACGCACGGGGGCGGAGAGCUGCUCUGUGCUCCUGGCCGCGGAGGAACCGACCCUGUGAGCACGUCCGUCCUGCCCGGGACGAUCUGUAGAUCCGGGGCCGUCGCACCGAACUCCCCACGACGCCGUCGCAGACGCGGGACGGACACCCCGACCCGCACGCGGAGGCGGGAGGGACCCCGCGCGGCCAGAGCGGUGGGAGCGGGAGCGCGAGCACCGCCCGAGCACCUGUUCGGUACCGCGAACCGCGUGAGGACGCGGCGGGAACCGAGUGGGCGCGGAGCAGGAACACGGACGCGCGGCCCCGCGGCCCCGGAGCCCGGAGCGGGAACACCCGGAGCGGGAAGAGCCGCGCGCACAGCCCCGCGGGGGACACAGGGUCACCCAGCACGAAGCCGCGCCGGGCCCUUCCCCCGCGGGUCCCCUGAACACCGCCCCCCUCAGCGUCCCCGCUCCGGAAGCUCCUCCUCCCCCCCCCCCCACGCCUCCCUUUCUCCUCACCUGCUCCUCCCGCGGCGGGUCCUGAGGAGACCGGUUUGUUGUCCGCGUGGACGCGGGCCCUCGUCCUUCCGAAGUCUCCACAGCGGGUCCUGA